AGUUGGAAGAAUGCGCUGUGUCCUUGUCCUCUCGCUCGUCUGUUGCCUGUUUUUUGCGCUGAACUACAUUAUGACUGACUCGUUCCAACUCGCCCAACAUGCAACGUUGCUAAGUUAUAUUUCUAGUACUCGGGCUCUUUCUCAUGU
rnacentral:lncRNA from 1 species